CUGCUGUGAUGAAACUUCAAUGCCAUCUGACUGCAUCCCCAUGCGGAAACACAGAGGCUGUUUCUGAGCAC
rnacentral:snoRNA from 1 species